rnacentral:rRNA from 1 species
AAUAAGAGGUCCCGCCUGCCCUGUGACUAUAUGUUUAACGGCCGCGGUAUUUUGACCGUGCGAAGGUAGCGCAAUCACUUGUCUUUUAAAUGGAGACCUGUAUGAAUGGCACGACGAGGGCUUAACUGUCUCCUUUCCUAAGUCAAUGAAAUUGAUCUCUCCGUGCAGAAGCGGGGAUAAACCCAUAAGACGAGAAGACCCUAUGGAGCUUCAGACACUAAAGCAGCCCAUGUUAAAAACCCUCACACAAGAGACCAAACUAGAUGGCCCCUGCCCUAAUGUCUUUGGUUGGGGCGACCACGGGGUAACAAAAAACCCCCGCGCGGAACAGAAAUACUAUUUCCAGAACCAAGAGCGCCCGCUCUAAGUAACAAGACCCACUUGACCCUUGAGAUCCGGCACAAGCCGAUCAACGGACCGAGUUACCCUAGGGAUAACAGCGCAAUCUUCUUCGAGAGUUCAUAUCGACGAGAAGGUUUACGACCUCGAUGUUGGAUCAGGACAUCCUAAUGGUGCAGCCGCUAUUAAGGGUUCGUUUGUUCAACGAUUAAAGUCCU